UCUCUGGUUUUUAUUUGGUAUUGUUUUUAACCUUCAUGCAAUAAUAUUUAUUCUUAACUGGACAAGCCAGUACUCAUCAUCAAACACAGGAAUGGCAGAUUGGUUCUGGAGGACUCUCACAUAUUGCCCUCCACAUUUCAAGAAAGGGUUUUUUCUCUUCAAUGCGCUUGUAAUACUCUACAAAAUCUGGCGCCGAACUUCUCGGAAGGAAAUUAAAAGCUGCCCAAAACCUCAGGACGCUGAAACUGACACCUUGAAUAUUCGCAAGGCUUUAUUCUUUCGGAAUGAGGGAACAGCUUGUUUUGGUCAUGUAUAUGGUGAGCCAUGUGAAUUUGGCAGAUACUGUCCAGCCUACGGCUUAAGAGAGAUAAUCGACUUCAUCAAGUCUGCUUCUGUGUCGAUAGACAUUUGCGUUCUUCAUUUAACCAUGGAUCUUAUUGAAAAAGCCAUAUUGGCUGCUUUUGAAGGAGGGGUGGAAGUUCGAAUCAUUACAGAUCCUGAAUUUUUCAGCGAGAAAUCUCGGAUUCCUGACUUGAGAAUGAUGGGUAUUCCAGUCAAAAUCAAGACGAAUUCUGAUUUCUCAAUGCAUAACAAAUUUGCAGUCAUAGACAAAACGUUUUACUGA
rnacentral:lncRNA from 1 species